UGCAGCCAUGCCGCGUGUGUGAAGAAGGCCUUCGGGUUGUAAAGCACUUUCAGUUGUGAGGAAAAGUUAGUAGUUAAUACCUGCUAGCCGUGACGUUAACAACAGAAGAAGCACCGGCUAACUCCGUGCCAGCAGCCGCGGUAAUACGGAGGGUGCGAGCGUUAAUCGGAAUUACUGGGCGUAAAGCGCACGCAGGCGGUUUGUUAAGCUAGAUGUGAAAGCCCCGGGCUCAACCUGGGAUAGUCAUUUAGAACUGGCAGACUAGAGUCUUGGAGAGGGGAGUGGAAUUCCAGGUGUAGCGGUGAAAUGCGUAGAUAUCUGGAGGAACAUCAGUGGCGAAGGCGACUCCCUGGCCAAAGACUGACGCUCAUGUGCGAAAGUGUGGGUAGCGAACAGGAUUAGAUACCCUGGUAGUCCACACCGUAAACGCUGUCUACUAGCUGUUUGUGACUUUAAGUCGUGAGUAGCGAAGCUAACGCGCUAAGUAGACCGCCUGGGGAGUACGGCCGCAAGGUUAAAACUCAAAUGAAUUGACGGGGGCCCGCACAAGCGGUGGAGCAUGUGGUUUAAUUCGAUGCAACGCGAAGAACCUUACCUACACUUGACAUGCUGAGAACUUUCUAGAGAUAGAUUGGUGCCUUCGGGAACUCAGACACAGGUGCUGCAUGGCUGUCGUCAGCUCGUGUCGUGAGAUGUUGGGUUAAGUCCCGCAACGAGCGCAACCCUUGUCCUUAGUUGCCAGCCUUAAGUUGGGCACUCUAAGGAGACUGCCGGUGACAAACCGGAGGAA
rnacentral:rRNA from 1 species